rnacentral:rRNA from 1 species
GGAGGAAAGUAGGGGAUCGAAAGACCUUAUGCUUUUGGAGCGGCCGAUGUCUGAUUAGCUAGUUGGUAAGGUAAUGGCUUACCAAGGCAACGAUCAGUAGUUGGUCUGAGAGGACGACCAGCCACACUGGGACUGAGACACGGCCCAGACUCCUACGGGAGGCGGCAGUGGGGAAUUUUGGACAAUGGGCGCAAGCCUGAUCCAGCAAUGCCGCGUGAGUGAAGAAGGCCUUCGGGUUGUAAAGCUCUUUCAGUUGAGAAGAAAAGAUUGUGACUAAUAAUUGCAAUUCAUGACGGUAUCAACAGAAGAAGCACCGGCUAACUACGUGCCAGCAGCCGCGGUAAUACGUAGGGUGCGAGCGUUAAUCGGAAUUACUGGGCGUAAAGGGUGCGCAGGCGGUUCUGUAAGUCAGAUGUGAAAUCCCCGGGCUUAACCUGGGAACUGCGUUUGAAACUACAAAGCUAG